CCUACGGGUGGCAGCAGUGAGGAAUAUUGGUCAAUGGGCGGAAGCCUGAACCAGCCAAGUAGCGUGCAGGAUGACGGCCCUACGGGUUGUAAACUUCUUUUAUACGGGAACAAAGCCCCUUACGUGUACGGCUUUGCAUGUACCGGAUGAAUAAGCACCGGCUAAUUCCGUGCCAGCAGCCGCGGUAAUACGGAAGGUGCGGGCGUUAUCCGGAUUUAUUGGGUUGAAAGGGUGCGUAGGCGGCCUGUCAAGCGUGCGGGGAAAUGUCCGGGCUCAACCCGGGCCGGGCAGUGAAAACUGGCGGGCUUGAGUCCGCGGAAAGCAGGCGGAAGUCGUGGUGUAGCGGUGAAAUGCUUAGAUAUCGCGCAGAACUCCGAUUGCGAAGGCAGCUUGCUGCCGUGGAACUGACGCUGAUGCACGAAAGCGCGGGUAUCGAACAGGAUUAGAUACCCCUGUAGUC
rnacentral:rRNA from 1 species